rnacentral:rRNA from 1 species
GACGAACGCUGGCGGCGUGCUUAACACAUGCAAGUCGAACGGAAAGGCCCUGCUUUUGUGGGGUGCUCGAGUGGCGAACGGGUGAGUAACACGUGAGUAACCUGCCCUUGACUUUGGGAUAACUUCAGGAAACUGGGGCUAAUACCGGAUAGGAGCUCCUGCUGCAUGGUGGGGGUUGGAAAGUUUCGGCGGUUGGGGAUGGACUCGCGGCUUAUCAGCUUGUUGGUGGGGUAGUGGCUUACCAAGGCAUUGACGGGUAGCCGGCCUGAGAGGGUGACCGGCCACAUUGGGACUGAGAUACGGCCCAGACUCCUACGGGAGGCAGCAGUGGGAAAUAUUGCACAAUGGGCGGAAGCCUGAUGCAGCAGCGCCGCGUGCGGGAUGACGGCCUUCGGGUUGUAAACCGCUUUCGCCUGUGACGAAGCGUGAGUGACGGUAAUGGAUAAAGAAGCACCGGCUAACUACGUG